AAACAUAUCAGGGGGACAUUUCCUUGUCAGAUCUUUGAAUCUCUCCCAAGCUUCAUAUAAGGUUUCACUAUCUUACUGUCUGAAUGUCUGCACCUCAGUUCUCAGUCU